GGUGGAACAAGGACAUGUGGUGUCGUGAGGGAGACUUUGAUUUGUGUAAACGCUGCCUGAUGCUCGUCAGUCCACGCAAACGUAUCUGAGUCCUUAAGUUUCAAAAGCGUCGAGAACGCUUUCAUUUUUCCUGCCGAGUUAGCUAUAAAUCGGCGGAGAAAAUUUAUCUUGCCGAGUAAGGACUGCAGUUGUUUCUUCAU
rnacentral:lncRNA from 1 species